GACGAACGCUGGCGGCGUGCUUAACACAUGCAAGUCGAACGGUAAGGCCUUCGGGUACACGAGUGGCGAACGGGUGAGUAACACGUGGGUGAUCUGCCCCCUACCCUGGGAUAAGCCUGGGAAACUGGGUCUAAUACCGGAUAUGACCUCCUUCUGCAUGGUUGGUGGUGGAAAGUUUUUUCGGUAGGGGAUGAGCCCGCGGCCUAUCAGCCUGUUGGUGGGGUAAUGGCCUACCAAGGCGACGACGGGUAGCCGGCCUGAGAGGGCGACCGGCCACACUGGGACUGAGACACGGCCCAGACUCCUACGGGAGGCAGCAGUGGGGAAUAUUGCACAAUGGGCGAAAGCCUGAUGCAGCGACGCCGCGUGGGGGAUGACGGCCUUCGGGUUGUAAACCCCUUUCAGUCGGGACGAAGCGAGAGUGACGGUACCGAUAGAAGAAGCACCGGCCAACUACGUGCCAGCAGCCGCCGUAAAAC
rnacentral:rRNA from 1 species